rnacentral:rRNA from 1 species
GGAAACAGGUUAAUAUUCCUGUACUUGGUGUUACUGCGAAGGGGGGACGGAGAAGGCUAUGUUGGCCGGGCGACGGUUGUCCCGGUUUAAGCGUGUAGGCUGGUUUUCCAGGCAAAUCCGGAAAAUCAAGGCUGAGGCGUGAUGACGAGGCACUACGGUGCUGAAGCAACAAAUGCCCUGCUUCCAGGAAAAGCCUCUAAGCAUCAGGUAACAUCAAAUCGUACCCCAAACCGACACAGGUGGUCAGGUAGAGAAUACCAAGGCGCUUGAGAGAACUCGGGUGAAGGAACUAGGCAAAAUGGUGCCGUAACUUCGGGAGAAGGCACGCUGAUAUGUAGGUGAAGUCCCUCGCGGAUGGAGCUGAAAUCAGUCGAAGAUACCAGCUGGCUGCAACUGUUUAUUAAAAACACAGCACUGUGCAAACACGAAAGUGGACGUAUACGGUGUGACGCCUGCCCGGUGC